rnacentral:rRNA from 1 species
CAAAGCAGAGAAGGGCACACGGGGGAUGUCUCGGCGUCAAGAGGCGAUGAAGGACGUAGGAACCUGCGAAAAGCCACAGGGAGCCGGUAACCAGGCCUUGAUCUGUGGAUGUCCGAAUGGGGCAACCCAACCCGCAAGGGUUAUCAUGCACUGAAUGCAUAGGUGUAUGAGGCAAACCCGGGGAACUGAAACAUCUCAGUACCCGGAGGAAAGGAAAGCAACCGCGACUCCGUAAGUAGCGGCGAGCGAAAACGGAUAGCUGUGAACCGUGCGAACACUCUGGAAAGAGUGAUCAUAGAAGGUGACAAUCCUGUAGUACGAUGUAGCAGCACAGCCCUAGAGUAGCGUCAGGCCCGUGAAACCUGGCGUGAACAUGGGGGGUCCACCCCCCAAGGCUAAGUACUCCUUGACGACCGAUAGUGAAGAAGUAAGGCGACUGAAAGAUGAAAACUACCCUUGUUAAGGGAGUGAAAGAGCAGCUGAAACCGUGUGCCUACAAGCGGUCGGAGCUUCCUUCGGGAGGUGACGGCGUGCCUUUUGCAUAAUGACCCGACGAGUUACCCUGUUCGGCGAGGUUAAGGACUACCGGUCCGGAGCCGAAGCGAAAGCGAGUCCGAAGCGGCGUUGAGUCGAACGGGGUAGACGCGAAACCUUGUGAUCUACCCAUGGGCAGGUUGAAGGGUGGGUAACACCACCUGGAGGACCGAACACACUAACGUUGAAAAGUUAGGUGAUGACCUGUGGGGAGGAGUAAAAGUCUAAUCAAACUGGGAGAUAGCUCGUUCUCUCCGAAAUGCUUUGAGGAGCAGCCUCUCGUGGCAACCAAUGGGGGUAGAGCGACUGGAUGUGGCUGGGGCCCUUCGGGGUACCCACCGCAACCAAACUCCGAAUACCAUUGGCCAAGACGAGGGAGUGAGGCCGUGAGUGACAAUAUUCACGGACGAAAGGGAAACACCCCUGACCGCCAGCUAAGGUCCCUAAACGAUGCUCAGUUCUUAAGGAAGUCGGAACGCUCUGACAGCCAGGAUGUUGGCUUAGAAGCAGCCACCAUUUAAAGAGUGCGUAAUAGCUCACUGGUCGAGGAGAUCGGCGCCGAUAAUGAUCGGGAAUAAGCGUUGUACCGAAGCCGCGGGCGCGUAAGCGCGGUAGGAGAGCGUUCCUGUCGGCUGUGAAGGCGUCCCGGAAGGGGCGUUGGAGCGUCAGGAAGUGAAUAUGCCGGGUUGAGUAACGAUAAAGCAGGUGAAAAUCCUGCUCGCCGUAAGCCCAAGGUUUCCUGGGGAAGGUAAAUCCGCCCAGGGUUAGUCGGAGCCUAAGGCGAGGCCGAAAGGCGUAGUCGAUGGACAGCAGGUUAAUAUUCCUGCACUCCGGGAAAGGUGCGGAUCGUAGAGACUUCCUGCCUUAUUAGAUUGGCAGGUUCUGCCGUUGGAAGUCAAAGCGGUUCCUAGAAAAGCCACCCAAUACGGACCCGUACCAAAACUGACACAGGUGGGCGAGGCGAAUAGCCUCAGGCGCUCGAGAGAACGGUCGUGAAGGAACUAGGCAAAUUGACCCCGUACGUUCGCAAUAAGGGGGCCCUACCCUUCGGGGAGGGCGCAGAGAAGAGGCUCUGGCGACUGUUUAUCAAAAACACAGCACUGUGCUAACUCGUAAGAGGAUGUAUACAGUGUGACGCUUGCCCGGUACCGGAAUGUCACGGAAGGGGGUUAGCUUCGGCGAAGCUCUCGACCUAAGCACCGGUAAACGGCGGCCGUAACUAUGACGGUCCUAAGGUAGCGAAGUUCCUUGUCGGGUAAGUUCCGACGCGCAUGAAUAGCGUAAUGACUGGAGCACUGUCUCCACGACCGACUCGGUGAAAUAGUAGUGGCGGUGAAGAUGCCGCCUACCCGCGACAAGACGGAAAGACCCUAUGGACCUUUACUGCAGGCUUCUGUUGGCCAGAGGCAUCGCAUGCGUAGCAUAGGUGGGAGGCUUUGAAGUUGGGGUUUCGGCCCCGAUGGAGCCAUCAGUGAAAUACCACCCUUGUUUUGUUUCUGGCCUAACGCCGAUUCCCUUGAAGCAGGGCGGCGGACAGUGGGUGCCGGGCAGUUUGACUGGGGCGGUCUCCUCCUAAAGAGUAACGGAGGAGCGCAAAGGUCGGCUCAGCGCGGAUGGAAACCGCGUGUCGAGUGCAAGAGCACAAGCCGGCUUUACUGCGAGACCGACAGGUCGAGCAGUCUCGAAAGAGGGCUCUAGUGAUCCUGCGAUCCCGUGUGGAAGGGUCGUAGCUCAUCGGAUAAAAGGUACCCCGGGGAUAACAGGCUUAUCGCUCCCGAGCGUCCAUAGCGGCGGAGCGGUUUGGCACCUCGAUGUCGGCUCAUCGCAUCCUGGGGCUGUAGGCGGUCCCAAGGGUUGGGCUGUUCGCCCAUUAAAGCGGUACGCGAGCUGGGUUCAGACCGGCGUGAGCCAGGUCGGUCCCUAUCUGUCGUGGGCGUUGCAGACUUGAGAGGAGUCUUCCUUAGUACGAGAGGAUUAGGAAGGACGCACCCCUGGUGAUCCAGUUGGCCUGCCAAGGCCACCGCUGGGUAGCUAAGUGCGGCAGGGAUAACCGCUGAAAGCAUCUAAGCGGGAAGCCCCCCUCAAGAUGAGGUCUGCUAGCAUUUAUUUGCGUGAGACCCCUGGAAGACCACCAGGUUGAUAGGCCGCAUGUGUAAGGGCUGAGAGGCCUUCAGCAGAGCGGUACUAACGGUCGAACGCUUGAUCAC